rnacentral:rRNA from 1 species
ACGGAAGGCAGCAGUGGGGAAUAUUGCACAAUGGGGGAAACCCUGAUGCAGCGACGCCGCGUGAAGGAAGAAGUAUCUCGGUAUGUAAACUUCUAUCAGCAGGGAAGAAAGUGACGGUACCUGACUAAGAAGCCCCGGCUAAUUACGUGCCAGCAGCCGCGGUAAUACGUAAGGGGCAAGCGUUAUCCGGAUUUACUGGGUGUAAAGGGAGCGUAGACGGAGAGGCAAGUCUGAUGUGAAAGGCAUGGGCUCAACCUGUGGACUGCAUUGGAAACUGUUUUUCUAGAGUGCCGGAGAGGCAGGCGGAAUUCCUAGUGUAGCGGUGAAAUGCGUAGAUAUUAGGAGGAACACCAGUGGCGAAGGCGGCCUGCUGGACGGUAACUGACGUUGAGGCUCGAAAGCGUGGGGAGCAAACAGGAUUAGAUACCCUGGUA